rnacentral:rRNA from 1 species
UACGUAGGGUGCGAGCGUUGUCCGGAAUUAUUGGGCGUAAAGGGCUCGUAGGCGGUCUGUCACGUCGGGGAGUGAAAAACUCGGGGGCUCAACUCCGAGCUUGCAGUCGAUACGGGGCAGGCUAGAGUUCGGCAGGGGGAGGCUGGAAUUCCUGGUGUAGCGGGUGAAAAUGCGCAGAUAUCAGGAGGAACACCGGUGGCGAAAGGCGGGGUCUCUGGGGCCGUAAACUGACGCUGAGGGAGCGAAAAGCGUGGGGGAGCGAAACAGG